ACAUCGUGACGGUAUCCAACCAGAAAGCCACGGCUAAUUACGUGCCAGCAGCCGCGGUAAUACGUAGGUGGCAAGCGUUGUCCGGAUUUAUUGGGCGUAAAGCGAGCGCAGGCGGUUUUUUAGGUCUGAUGUGAAAGCCUUCGGCUUAACCGGAGAAGUGCAUCGGAAACCGGGAGACUUGAGUGCAGAAGAGGACAGUGGAACUCCAUGUGUAGCGGUGAAAUGCGUAGAUAUAUGGAAGAACACCAGUGGCGAAGGCGGCUGUCUGGUCUGCAACUGACGCUGAGGCUCGAAAGCAUGGGUAGCGAACAGGAUUAGAUACCCUGGUAGUCCAUGCCGUAAACGAUGAGUGCUAAGUGUUGGAGGGUUUCCGCCCUUCAGUGCUGCAGCUAACGCAUUAAGCACUCCGCCUGGGGAGUACGACCGCAAGGUUGAAACUCAAAGGAAUUGACGGGGGCCCGCACAAGCGGUGGAGCAUGUGGUUUAAUUCGAUGCUACGCGAAGAACCUUACCAGGUCUUGACAUCUUCUGCUAACCUAAGAGAUUAGGCGUUCCCUUCGGGGACGGAAUGACAGGUGGUGCAUGGUUGUCGUCAGCUCGUGUCGUGAGAUGUUGGGUUAAGUCCCGCAACGAGCGCAACCCUUAUUGUCAGUUGCCAGCAUUCAGUUGGGCACUCUGGCGAGACUGCCGGUGACAAACCGGAGGAAGGUGGGGAUGACGUCAAAUCAUCAUGCCCCUUAUGACCUGGGCUACACACGUGCUACAAUGGACGGUACAACGAGUCGCGAAACCGCGAGGUCAAGCUAAUCUCUGAAAGCCGUUCUCAGUUCGGAUUGCAGGCUGCAACUCGCCUGCAUGAAGUUGGAAUCGCUAGUAAUCGUGGAUCAGCAUGCCACGGUGAAUACGUUCCCGGGCCUUGUACACACCGCCCGUCACACCAUGAGAGUUUGUAACACCCAAA
rnacentral:rRNA from 1 species